ACGCUGGCGGCAGGCCUAACACAUGCAAGUCGAGCGGUAGAGAGAAGCUUGCUUCUCUUGAGAGCGGCGGACGGGUGAGUAAUGCCUAGGAAUCUGCCUGGUAGUGGGGGAUAACGUUCGGAAACGGACGCUAAUACCGCAUACGUCCUACGGGAGAAAGCAGGGGACCUUCGGGCCUUGCGCUAUCAGAUGAGCCUAGGUCGGAUUAGCUAGUUGGUGGGGUAAUGGCUCACCAAGGCGACGAUCCGUAACUGGUCUGAGAGGAUGAUCAGUCACACUGGAACUGAGACACGGUCCAGACUCCUACGGGAGGCAGCAGUGGGGAAUAUUGGACAAUGGGCGAAAGCCUGAUCCAGCCAUGCCGCGUGUGUGAAGAAGGUCUUCGGAUUGUAAAGCACUUUAAGUUGGGAGGAAGGGCAGUUGCCUAAUACGUAACUGUUUUGACGUUACCGACAGAAUAAGCACCGGCUAACUCUGCGCCAGCAGCCGCGGUAAUACAGAGGGUGCAAGCGUUAAUCGGAAUUACUGGGCGUAAAGCGCGCGUAGGUGGUUCGUUAAGUUGGAUGUGAAAUCCCCGGGCUCAACCUGGGAACUGCAUUCAAAACUGACUGACUAGAGUAUGGUAGAGGGUGGUGGAAUUUCCUGUGUAGCGGUGAAAUGCGUAGAUAUAGGAAGGAACACCAGUGGCGAAGGCGACCACCUGGACUGAUACUGACACUGAGGUGCGAAAGCGUGGGGAGCAAAC
rnacentral:rRNA from 1 species